AGCUGGGAAGACACAGUUACGUUCUGUACCGUGAUUCCAUUCCACAUCCGUUAAGUCGUACGCUCAACACCCAACCGAAGCUGGCAAUAGCAAAGCGAAGAAUCGAACUCUCCUCCCAAGAUCAAUGCCUACCAGACCUCCUCUCAGCAGGCUGGGCAACUACAGCUCUUCUUCCGAAGCAUUUCCAACAGCCCAUCUUUAAAUGGCCUGGAUAUUUCAAAUUUUGUUCUCAAUGUUUUGUUCUCAUGGCACCAGUUAAAAUAUAAUAAUCAUCAUAGUAAUAUUAA